CACUCAGGACCACUGUUCUGCUGACCCAGAAUCCUUCUGGGCUGAUUGGCUUCAAUUGCUGCCCCUAGUCUUUCCUGUGCAUCCUUCAUGGAUGACCUCCAACUGUUUUAUCUGACUGGGUCUACAACAGCACAGAGGCCAGUGGGGCGUCAUCUUGUACAGCAAGAAAAGAAUUCUUGUUUUUGCUUCCUUUCUCAGGAGAACUACGAUGACCCGCACAAAACCCCUGCCUCCCCAGUUGUCCACAUCAGGGGCCUGAUUGACGGCGUGGUGGAAGCAGACCUUGUGGAGGCCUUGCAGGAGUUUGGACCCAUCAGCUAUGUGGUGGUAAUGCCUAAAAAGAGACAAGCACUGGUGGAGUUUGAAGAUGUGUUGGGGGCUUGCAACGCAGUGAACUACGCAGCCGACAACCAAAUAUACAUUGCUGGUCACCCAGCUUUUGUCAACUACUCUACCAGCCAGAAGAUCUCCCGCCCUGGGGACUCGGAUGACUCCCGGAGCGUGAACAGUGUGCUUCUCUUUACCAUCCUGAACCCCAUUUAUUCGAUCACCACGGAUGUUCUUUACACUAUCUGUAAUCCUUGUGGCCCUGUCCAGAGAAUUGUCAUUUUCAGGAAGAAUGGA
rnacentral:sRNA from 1 species